rnacentral:lncRNA from 1 species
CCUUCAACUAGCCAUUACGAGUGCACAAACACCAGCUGCCUCACCUUCCAGUACGCCAACCACCACCACCACUCCUCCACCUUCAACUUCGCCACCACCUACAACUUCCGCACCACCUCCUUCAACAACCCCUCCACCUACAACUUCAGCACCACCUCCUUCAACAGCAACGCCUCCACCUUCCACCACGCCCAUCGCGCCAGCUCAACCACCUGCAACAACUCCCCCUCCCACUGUUGCACCAGCUACAAGCCCAACUGUCCCACCGCCACAAACUCCACCACCUCAACCACCUCAAACUCCUCCAACCACAGCUCCAGCUCAACCGCCAGCAGUGCCACCACCAUCACCACCACCAGUAUCUCCUGCACCAGCACCAGCUCAGAAACCACCAGCUC